rnacentral:tRNA from 1 species
GCCCAUGUAGCUCAGCCGGUAGAGCACAUCCAUGGUAAGGAUGGGGUCGCCAGUUCGAUUCUGGCCGUGGGCUCCA